CGAGCGCUGGGCCAGGCCGGCCCGGUGCAGCUUGUGCCAGCGCAGCCGGCCGCCGGUCAUCGCGGUGGUGAACGAC
rnacentral:tRNA from 1 species